GUGAUGCUCGCCGGGGCGGGACAGUUGGCUUUCCUGCGGCCGGUGCGGUUUCCCGAGCCGGCGGAGGCUCUGUGCGUCCGCAUCGCG
rnacentral:tRNA from 1 species